AUUGAACGCUGGCGGCAUGCCUUACACAUGCAAGUCGAACGGCAGCACGGACUUCGGUCUGGUUGCGAGUGGCGAACGGGUGAGUAAUGUAUCGGAACGUACCUUUCAGUGGUGGAUAACGUAGCGAAAGUUACGCUAAUACCGCAUAUUCUGUUAGCAGGAAAGCAGGGGAUCAGAAGACCUUGCGCUGAUGGAGCGGCCGAUAUCAGAUUAGCUAGUUGGUGGGGUAAAGGCCUACCAAGGCGACGAUCUGUAGCGGGUCUGAGAGGAUGAUCCGCCACACUGGAACUGAGACACGGUCCAGACUCCUACGGGAGGCAGCAGUGGGGAAUUUUGGACAAUGGGGGCAAGCCUGAUCCAGCCAUGCCGCGUGAGUGAAGAAGGCCUUCGGGUUGUAAAGCUCUUUCGGCCGGGAAGAAAUCGCAUAGGCUAAUACCCUGUGUGGAUGACGGUACCGGAAUAAGAAGCACCGGCUAACUACGUG
rnacentral:rRNA from 1 species